AGGAUAAUAGUUAAAAUAACAUUUGAUUUGCAUUCAAAAAUUAUUAAAUUCAAACCUUAAUUUAUCUUA
rnacentral:tRNA from 1 species